GAACUGAAGAGUUUGAUCAUGGCUCAGAUUGAACGCUGGCGGCAGGCCUAACACAUGCAAGUCGAGCGGAUGAAGGGAGCUUGCUCCUGGAUUCAGCGGCGGACGGGUGAGUAAUGCCUAGGAAUCUGCCUGGUAGUGGGGGAUAACGUCCGGAAACGGGCGCUAAUACCGCAUACGUCCUGAGGGAGAAAGUGGGGGAUCUUCGGACCUCACGCUAUCAGAUGAGCCUAGGUCGGAUUAGCUAGUUGGUGGGGUAAAGGCCUACCAAGGCGACGAUCCGUAACUGGUCUGAGAGGAUGAUCAGUCACACUGGAACUGAGACACGGUCCAGACUCCUACGGGAGGCAGCAGUGGGGAAUAUUGGACAAUGGGCGAAAGCCUGAUCCAGCCAUG
rnacentral:rRNA from 1 species